AAAUUGAAGAGUUUGAUCAUGGCUCAGAUUGAACGCUGGCGGCAGGCCUAACACAUGCAAGUCGAACGGUAACAGGAAGCAGCUUGCUGCUUUGCUGACGAGUGGCGGACGGGUGAGUAAUGUCUGGGAAACUGCCUGAUGGAGGGGGAUAACUACUGGAAACGGUGGCUAAUACCGCAUAACGUCGCAAGACCAAAGAGGGGGACCUUCGGGCCUCUUGCCAUCAGAUGUGCCCAGAUGGGAUUAGCUAGUUGGUGAGGUAACGGCUCACCAAGGCGACGAUCCCUAGCUGGUCUGAGAGGAUGACCAGCCACACUGGAACUGAGACACGGUCCAGACUCCUACGGGAGGCAGCAGUGGGGAAUAUUGCACAAUGGGCGCAAGCCUGAUGCAGCCAUGCCGCGUGUAUGAAGAAGGCCUUAGGGUUGUAAAGUACUUUCAGCGGGGAGGAAGGUGUUGUGGUUAAUAACCGCAGCAAUUGACGUUACCCGCAGAAGAAGCACCGGCUAACUCCGUGCCAGCAGCCGCGGUAAUACGGAGGGUGCAAGCGUUAAUCGGAAUUACUGGGCGUAAAGCGCACGCAGGCGGUCUGUCAAGUCGGAUGUGAAAUCCCCGGGCUCAACCUGGGAACUGCAUUCGAAACUGGCAGGCUUGAGUCUUGUAGAGGGGGGUAGAAUUCCAGGUGUAGCGGUGAAAUGCGUAGAGAUCUGGAGGAAUACCGGUGGCGAAGGCGGCCCCCUGGACAAAGACUGACGCUCAGGUGCGAAAGCGUGGGGAGCAAACAGGAUUAGAUACCCUGGUAGUCCACGCCGUAAACGAUGUCUACUUGGAGGUUGUGCCCUUGAGGCGUGGCUUCCGGAGCUAACGCGUUAAGUAGACCGCCUGGGGAGUACGGCCGCAAGGUUAAAACUCAAAUGAAUUGACGGGGGCCCGCACAAGCGGUGGAGCAUGUGGUUUAAUUCGAUGCAACGCGAAGAACCUUACCUGGUCUUGACAUCCACAGAACUUUCCAGAGAUGGAUUGGUGCCUUCGGGAACUGUGAGACAGGUGCUGCAUGGCUGUCGUCAGCUCGUGUUGUGAAAUGUUGGGUUAAGUCCCGCAACGAGCGCAACCCUUAUCCUUUGUUGCCAGCGAUUAGGUCGGGAACUCAAAGGAGACUGCCAGUGAUAAACUGGAGGAAGGUGGGGAUGACGUCAAGUCAUCAUGGCCCUUACGACCAGGGCUACACACGUGCUACAAUGGCGCAUACAAAGAGAAGCGACCUCGCGAGAGCAAGCGGACCUCAUAAAGUGCGUCGUAGUCCGGAUUGGAGUCUGCAACUCGACUCCAUGAAGUCGGAAUCGCUAGUAAUCGUGGAUCAGAAUGCCACGGUGAAUACGUUCCCGGGCCUUGUACACACCGCCCGUCACACCAUGGGAGUGGGUUGCAAAAGAAGUAGGUAGCUUAACCUUCGGGAGGGCGCUUACCACUUUGUGAUUCAUGACUGGGGUGAAGUCGUAACAAGGUAACCGUAGGGGAACCUGCGGUUGGAUCACCUCCUUACCUUAAAGAAGC
rnacentral:rRNA from 1 species